rnacentral:rRNA from 1 species
CAGUAGCCGCGGGAAUACGUAGGGUGCGAGCGUUAAUCGGAAUUACUGGGCGUAAAGCGUGCGCAGGCGGUUAUGUAAGACAGGUGUGAAAUCCCCGGGCUUAACCUGGGAACUGCGCUUGUGACUGCACAGCUAGAGUAUGGCAGAGGGGGGCGGAAUUCCACGUGUAGCAGUGAAAUGCGUAGAGAUGUGGAGGAACACCGAUGGCGAAGGCAGCCCCCUGGGCCAAUACUGACGCUCAUGCACGAAAGCGUGGGGAGCAAACAGGAUUAGAUACCCCCGUAGUCCCUGUCUCUUAUAC